GGCAAACAUUUAACAGUCAGCUCUCCCAAAAAAUCCUGAUUUAUCGCAUUUAUUGACUUCGGCCCCCCACCAUGGACAGUUUUAAACUGCCAGUGUGACGUCACUGAGUGAGGAGCUGGGGAGACACAGCACUGUAAGGAAUUCCCACCAUAUAAUGCCACGGACACACAUAACUCCAGGAGCACGGUCAGUGGGUCGCAGAAGCUGUCUCUCUGCAUGGUCUCUAUCUUGUUAUUCUGGAAAGCACACAGGGUGGCUGAGCCCCUCCUAGAGGAUCUGCCCGUAGGCAGCACUGAAGGCUCUCCCUUGUGCAACUGGAGAAACUGAGGCCCACAGGGCCAAGACCACACAACAGGGGUGCAGCGAGCGCAGGCUCAGGGGGAAAGGGCCUGGGACGGACUCCAGCAGGUUGUCGGCCAGGAAGAGGAACCGCAGCUUCUUCAACGCCUGUGGAGAACGCAAAGAGGAUGAGAAAACAAGAUCAGAGAGGUUAGGCGAUUCUCCCACAAACCCGGGUCUCUGGCUCCAAAGCCCACACCUCAUCCCAGGCUGAGAAACAGCCCCAAGUCCAGGCAAAGAAGCGCCUCCUGCUAUGGAGACGGUGAGGAUGUUUCUCAGGCCGGAGCAGCGAGCGGCUUCAGAGAUCCUGCAACCCCAGUUCUGCACUGAGAGACGGAAGCACUGAGGCCCAGGGUCUAGCGACAGGCUUCUGACUCCCGGUCCAGUGCUCUUCCCACCACGACAGUGGUAUUGACACCGUGUUCCAUAACCCCCCCUCGAGGACCACUGCAGACAGGAGAAGACUGAGAGGGUGGAAGAUAUUCUGGGGUGGGGAGGGAGCAAGCAGGCAUGCCUCUGUGCCCUCACCCCUUUCAAAAAGGCAGCUGUAAUUUGAUUUAUUUGAUGCUUCUAAAUAUGAAUUAGUUUGUGAAAAAGAUUCUACUACUUGAGAGAGAGAGAGCACUUGAAAGUCCAAAUGAAGGAGCUAAGACUGAAAGAGGGAGCAAUUGGUCUUAAAGCCACUCUCGUCAUUCGGGCGGCACGCUUGUCCACGCUCCACCUCCUCCCUGGCACUGCACCCACGGCUCUGCCAGCCCUGUUGGGUGGGCAGCCCCAGGGGGCCAUAUUUGUGUCAUAUAACUGAGCCUUUGCCAUCAGAACUGGCCAACCAAUGAUCAGAUUGUAUCUCUUGAGAAUUUGAUCAUAGAAAGACAAUGAUUUGUCACUUAAGGGUAGGUUUGGGAAAUAAAAGGAUAUGUAGAGUUAGGGCUGGAGUCAGCUCUAUUGCAAGCCAAAGUCACACCUCAGCCAGAGUUUGCGGGGAGCAGAACCUGUGAGUGCUCAGAGGACGCGGCCGCGCAGAGAGAACGGAGCAGGUGCACAGAAAGAAGCCGAGACAAGAGACCAUGUGCCCCAGAGAGGGAGAGAAAGAGAUCUUGACCUUGGUUUCUGAUCCCCCCCUUCCCAGUACAGGUUGAACAUCCCAAAUCCAAAAGUCUGAAAUCCUAAAUGCUCUGAAACCUGAAACUUUUUGCGCAUCAACAUGACGCUCAAAAGAAAUGCUCGUCGGUAACAGGCCCACGAGGCCCGAUAGUGCUGUGUUUCCUGUUCCUCUGGGUUCUCGGGGUGACAGGCCGUAAAACACCCUUUUCUUGGGUAUCAGAUUCUUGCAACCAAAAGAAUCUUAAUAAACAACAAAUGCA